GGUCAGUAAAUAGGAAUAUCCACAUUUCUAGAAGGCUAAAUAGAAGAAAAAAAAUCCAUGAGCUGAUUCAUGUCAUGGUCUUCAGAGAAGGAGAGGGGGCCAAACACUCUAAUCAACCAACGCCGCCUCUUAUGGCUUCAAAAUAAGGUUACAAGGAAGUUUCUUCUACCUGCUCUGCAAUUAAGGUCAUGGAAGGAGCAAGCAAGAACGGGACCUAGCCAAC
rnacentral:lncRNA from 1 species